rnacentral:rRNA from 1 species
UACGUAGGGGCCAAGCGUUGUCCGGAUUUAUUGGGCGUAAAGAGCUCGUAGGCGGUUGGGUAAGUCGGGUGUGAAAACUCCAGGCUCAACUUGGAGAUGCCACCCGAUACUGCUCUGACUUGAGUUCGGUAGGGGAGUGGGGAAUUCCCGGUGUAGCGGUGAAAUGCGCAGAUAUCAGGAGGAACACCGGUGGCGAAGGCGCCACUCUGGGCCGAAACUGACGCUGAGGAGCGAAAGCGUGGGUAGCAAACAGG